rnacentral:misc_RNA from 1 species
GCGAGUUGCAAAGAGAACACAGCAAGCAAUAUGGCUUCUAUGCCUGGAAUUCUCACUGACUGGCCAUGGAAGCCUCUCGGAAGCUUUAAGUAUGCGAUAUUGGCUCCCUGGGUCAUUCAAAACAUAUACUCGUACGUGGUUAGAGCAGAAAAUGAUUUGUCAAGCUUUCUCAUCUUCCCAUUUAUACUGGGGAGAAUGAUCCACAACCAGUUAUGGAUCAGCCUCUCCCGCUACCGGACAGCCAAAGGGAGUAACAGGAUUGUCGACAAAGGCAUUGAAUUCGACCAAGUAGAUAGAGAAAGAAACUGGGAUGAUCAAAUACUGUUCAAUGGGAUCGUUUUUUACGUCGGUACCAUGGUAAUUCCGGGGGCCACCCAUUUGCCUAUGUGGAGAAGCGAUGGCAUAAUACUGACGAUGUUGCUUCAUGCGGGGCCGGUGGAGUUUCUUUACUACUGGUUUCACCGACUUCUGCAUCACCACUAUCUCUACUCCCGCUACCAUUCCCACCACCAUACCUCCAUCGUCACCGAGCCCAUUACCUCCGUGAUUCACCCAUUUGCGGAACACAUAGCAUACUUCAUGUUAUUUGCGAUUCCAAUUUUGACAACGUUGUUUAAUGGAACGGCAAGCGCUGCAAGUUUAACCGGUUACGUUGCUUUCAUCGACUUCAUGAACAAUAUGGGCCACUGCAACUUCGAGCUCAUUCCCAAAUGGCUCUUUUCCAUUUUUCCUCCUCUCAAGUACCUCAUGUACACCCCAUCGUUCCAUUCUCUUCACCACACUCAGUUCCGAACCAAUUACUCGCUAUUCAUGCCUAUCUACGAUUACAUCUAUGGUACAGUGGACAAAUCUUCUGAUACCCUUUAUGAAUAUUCACUCAAAAGAAAAGAGGAAUUCCCUGAUGUCGUCCACCUAACCCAUAUUACCACUCCCCAGUCCAUCUAUCACCUACGUCUGGGAUUUCCCUACUUGGCCUCCAGCCCCGAGACAUCCAAAUGGUACCUCUGCUUAAUGUGGCCUAUCACCCUGUGGACCAUGAUGUUGACUUGGAUUUAUGGUCGUACAUUUGUAGUUGAGAGGCAUCGCUUUGACAAACUCAGAUUACAAACUUGGGCCAUACCCAAAUACAAUAUCCAGUAUUUCAUGCAAGGGCAAAAUCAAUCCAUUAAUCACAUGAUUGAAGAAGCCAUACUUGAAGCUGAGCAUAAAGGCGUUAAAGUGUUGAGUCUUGGUCUCUUGAAUCAGGGGGAAAAGCUGAAUAGAUAUGGCGAGCUUUAUGUGCAUAGGCAUCCUACGCUGCAAACAAAGGUGGUGGAUGGAAGUAGUCUAGCAGUAGCUGUUGUGCUUAAUAGCAUACCUAAAGGAACUACCCAAGUUCUCCUUAGGGGAAGGCCCAAUAAGGUUGCCUGUGCUAUUGCCUUGGCCCUGAGCCAGAGGGGAACCCAGGUAGCAACUAUCCUCCAGGACGAUUAUGAGAAGCUUAAGGCAUCAUUUGGCAGCGAGCCUCCCAAUAAUCUAGUUCUUUUAAAAAAUUAUACUUUGAAGGUAUGUAUAAUUAUUCUAGCUACUAGGGCAUGGUAGUAUAAUAGAAAAAGAAAUAAGGUUGAAUGAAUUUGUGUAGACGUGGCUAGUGGACGAUGGAUUGAGUGAAGAGGAGCAAAAGAAAGCAACAGAAGGAACUGUAUUUAUUCCUUUGUCCCAACUUCCACCAAAGAAAAUGAGAAAGGACUGCUUUUACCAUAGCACACCGGCAAUGGUAGCUCCCACGUCUCUUGAAAAUGUGGACUCUUGUGAGGUAGGUAAAGAUUUUAAUUUUAUGUGGCUGCUUGCUUUUCCAUUUGAUAGACAAAAAGUAAUUAUUGUGUAUUUAUGAUGUUAAAAAAAAAAUGGUCAGAAUUGGCUGCCUAGAAGGGUGAUGAGUGCAUGGCGAGCGGCUGGAAUAGUGCAUGCCUUAGAAGGAUGGAAUGUGCACGAGUGCGGUUACUCCAUGUUCAACGUUGACAAAGUUUGGGAAGCAGCUCUUCAACAUGGCUUUAAACCUCUAACUGCCGCCACUACUAUUCACUCUAAUUAAAUUCUAGUUUAUAAAUUUGCUGCUACUGCGCUGUAUCUUUUUUCACUGUUAUUAUCGUUUUGCAAAAAUUAAAAACUGUUAUUAUCAUUUUGAAAACGUAAGCUGUCCGAAUCAGCGAUUUGUGUCCGUACUGAAAUAAGAAGUUAAUUGGCUAUUAACGCGAGACGGUUGAGUGAGAUU